rnacentral:lncRNA from 1 species
CCAAAAGAAUCAUCUAUUCAAGUCUUUGUUUGAAUUUACAUACACAAAUAUUCAUAACAUGCCACAGAAAAAAUAUAUCAAACGGAUAUCAAAAUCGACCAUCGGCUACAAAUACAUUAAAAAUAUUCACAUAUACAAGUUCAUAUUUUUGCAUACAAUAUUAACCAUUUCUACUCCCACAUGGACCUUUGAAUUUCUUCUGCAUUGCUUAUGUGGAUUACUUAUAGAGAAGUUCUAAUUGGCCGUGACUUUCUAUCUAGUGGUUAUCAUAUUUGCGCCCGUCAAUAUUUGUUCUUUCAGCUUGAGAAGCACAAACUCCCGGCAUUUGAGGCAAUAUAUUUUUUUAAUAUCACAUAAGACUAAUAAACAUUAUUGAUAGAAAGUGAUGUCGAUAUUUAACAACAAUCAGGAGCACAAACUCUAAUGAAGUUCAAAUAUUGUUUUACAUGCUCUCCUUGGCAGCUCUUCGGCUCCAUUUUCUUCCCAAAAAAUAUUGAAAAAAUGAGACUUUGAUAAUGGAGAGGAGAGUCCUCUCUAUAGUUAUUUCUUUUAACAAAUGCACACUAAAAGAAGUUAUAAAUAAUUAUAGAAAGGAAAAAGGGAAAUACGUAUAAAAUAAAGAAAGAUAAAUACCUUUGAUGGCCUAAUUUGCAUAUGCUUCGCAUUGUUGGAGGCAACAAAGUAGAGGGGCUUAUAUGAGCCAAAAAAGCAAGGCCGUUACUAUUUAUUGUGACUCUUCACUCUUUUUCUAUCCCCACUAAUACAACUCUUCAUUGCUUUCUUUAUUAGCACAAUUAGUAAAUAAAUAAAUAAGAACGGGCAAGGCAACUGAAGGGGUAUAUAACCAAUGUGCACUUCAAUUAUAAGUUAAUUAAUUCAUUUCUCUCUUUUUAUAUUCCAUAACUGAAUUCUCUUCAUAACAAAGUAGUAAUUGCACUUUUUUGUAUAUUCCAUAACUGAAAUCUCCUCAUCCAUAAGCCUCAUCAGUUUCGUUAUUAGUUCUAGGUAGUAAAUAAUUUUUUUGUAUUAAAAUUAGAAAAAAAAUCUGAAAAAACCAGAAAAAAGAUAAAUAUGAAAGUUGGCCAUAUAGGGAUGCCACAUCA